rnacentral:rRNA from 1 species
UAGGGAAUCUUCGGCAAUGGACGAAAGUCUGACCGAGCAACGCCGCGUGAGUGAAGAAGGUUUUCGGAUCGGAAAACUCUGUUGUUAGAGAAGAACAAGGACGUUAGUAACUGAACGUCCCCUGACGGUAUCUAACCAGAAAGCUACGUAUAACUACGUGCCAGCAGCCGCUGUAAAACGUAGGUGGCAAGCGUUUUCCGGGUUGACUGGGCGUAAAGCGAGCGCAGGCGGUAUCUUGAGUCUGAUGUGAAAGCCCCCGGCUCACCCGGGGAAGGUCAUUGGAAACUGGGAGACUUGAGUGCAGAAGAGGCGAGGGGAAUUCCAUGUGUAGCGGUGAAAUGCGUAGAUAUACGGAGGAACACCAGUGGCGAAGGCGGCUCGCUGGUCUGUACUUGACGCUGAGGUUCGAAAGCGUGGGGAGCAAACAGG